GUUUUAAUAAUUUAUAUAAAAUAUUGGUCUUGUAAACCAAAAAUAAGAUUGUUUCUUUUAAAACU
rnacentral:tRNA from 1 species